UAUCAACAUCCUUCAUAGUGAAGACCUAGGAAAGGAUGUUGAAUUUGAAGUUGUUGGUGAUGCCCCAGAAAAAGUGGGGCCCAAACAAGCUGAAGAUGCUGCCAAAAGCAUAACCAAAGGCAGUGAUGAUGGAGCUCAGCCCUCCACCUCCACAGCUCAAGAGCAAGAUGAUGUUCUCAUAGUUGAUUAGGAUGAAGAAGAUUCUUCAAAUAAUGCCGACGUCAGUGAGGAAGAGAGAAGCCGCAAGAAGAAAUUAGAUGAGAAAGAGAAUCUCAGUGCAAAGAGGUCACGUAUAGAACAGAAGGAAGAGCUUGAUGAUGUCAUAGCAUUAGAUUGA
rnacentral:lncRNA from 10 species